rnacentral:rRNA from 1 species
CGCGGCCUAUCAGCUUGUUGGUAAGGUAACGGCUUACCAAGGCAACGAUACGUAGCCGACCUGAGAGGGUGAUCGGCCACACUGGAACUGAGACACGGUCCAGACUCCUACGGGAGGCAGCAGUAGGGAAUCUUCCGCAAUGGACGAAAGUCUGACGGAGCAACGCCGCGUGAGUGAUGAAGGUUUUCGGAUCGUAAAACUCUGUUAUUAGGGAAGAACAAAUGUGUAAGUAACUGUGCACAUCUUGACGGUACCUAAUCAGAAAGCCACGGCUAACUACGCGCCAGCAGCCGCGGUAAUACGUGGGUGGCAAGCGUUAUCCGGAAUUAUUGGGCGUAAAGCGCGCGUAGGCGGUUUCUUAAGUCUGAUGUGAAAGCCCACGGCUCAACCGUGGAGGGUCAUUGGAAACUGGGAAACUUGAGUACAGAAGAGGAAAGUGGAAUUCCAUGUGUAGCGGUGAAAUGCGCANAGAUAUGGAGGAACACCAGUGGCGAAGGCGACUUUUCUGGUCUGUAACUGACGCUGAUGUGCGAAAAGCGUGGGGAUCAAACAGGAUUAGAUACCCUGGUAAGUCCNCCCCCCUAAACGAUGANUGCUUAAGUGUUUAGGGGGGUUUCCGCCCCCCUUUANUGCUGCAGCUUAACGCCNUUUAACCACCCCCNCCUUGGGGAAUUACCGGAAAGGGCCAAAAUUUCCAGCCNCCCUUGGCCGGGCCCGUUUACUAAGUGGGAUUCCCAAACUCCGGUAACCAAAGC